rnacentral:rRNA from 1 species
GAUUUCUGGACUCUUGAACUUGGCCGGCCACGGUUUCGUGUGUUAGUGCUUUGUUCUGUGUCCAUCCUUCCAAUCGCUGCUGGCUUUUCUUCAUUGAAUGGUCAGUGGUAUUGGAUCUUUUACUUUGAAAAAAUUAGAGUGUUUCAAGCAGGCUUUAUGCUAUGAAUACAUUAGCAUGGAAUAAUAAUUUAGGACUUCGGUUCUAUUUUGUUGGUUUCUAGGACUGAAGUAAUGAUUGAUAGGGAUAGUUGGGGGUGCUAGUAUUCAGCGGCCAGAGGUGAAAUUCUCGGAUUCGCUGAAGACUAACUUAUGCGAAAGCAUU